rnacentral:rRNA from 1 species
AGAGUUUGAUCCUGGCUCAGGAUGAACGCUAGCUACAGGCUUAACACAUGCAAGUCGAGGGGAAACGACAUCGAAAGCUUGCUUUUGAUGGGCGUCGACCGGCGCACGGGUGAGUAACGCGUAUCCAACCUGCCCAUCACUUGGGGAUAACCUUGCGAAAGUAAGACUAAUACCCAAUGACGUCUCUAGAAGACAUCUGAAAGAGAUUAAAGAUUUAUCGGUGAUGGAUGGGGAUGCGUCUGAUUAGCUUGUUGGCGGGGUAACGGCCCACCAAGGCGACGAUCGAGUAGGGGUUCUGAGGAGGAAGGUCCCCCANAUUGGAACUGAGACACGGUCCAAACUCCUACGGGAGCA